UCUGAAGGUUAGAAAAGCUUUUUAAACACAUUCACAGUAGGAAUUCAUUAAACUAUCUUAGAAAAGAGCUGGAAAACUCAUGUUGCAAUUGAGCACAUGAUCACUCCUAUUACAGGAAUUAGUAUGCAUUUAGCAAAGAUCCACUGUGCUUCACAAGGAAGAAGAUUUUGUUGUUGUCCUUCAAACAUACAUGACUUGGAUACGCGAUGUUAUAUGUCUACAAAUGAAGCUGUUCCCGAUAUAUUGGCAGGGAAGGACCCUUGCACCUAAGAACUAGGGAAAGCAUCGUCUGCACCAAGAGUCUAAUUAUAUAUCAGGAAUGGUGGCACCUGCACAAUUAAGAUCCGUGUAUCCUGUGGACUCCUUCGGAUUCGGUGGACUACUUCGACGACCAGCGUUUUUCUUUGCUUGAUGUUAAUAAAAUGGUUAACGAGGGCUUGUGGGGG